rnacentral:lncRNA from 1 species
CUGGGUAUAGAGCAUGGCAUGAAGGCAUAACCCACCCUGCUGUACUGAGAAGCAAGUGUUUCCUCACCACUUUAACAAAUCCAAGGAAGUUCACUGGGACCGCCUUCGCUUUCUCAACUCUUCACUGGGAGCUGCCUCUCCUACCCACUGACUAAAUCAGCUCCUGGCUGCUCUCCGCCAGCUAAGGCAGAGAGGCUGCCAAAUAGCUUCCUGCUCAAAGAUCCCUGUAUCCUUUCUGUGCCACGGGCCAUCACCCUGCAGCUCCAGUGUUUUUCCCAGAACAGCAGUAUGGGAAGAUGUCAUGCUCUGAGCUGAACGCCAAAACCGGAUCCAGAAGGGCUGGGAAGAGGAGGAGGAACCCUCCAAACCUGGAAUUGCGAGUUUCCCAGGGAGGAGGAGAGCAGGAACACCUCAUCCCAUCCUCCCAUCACUCCCAGCCUCUCUCGCCAGGGUCUGCCCGGCCUCUCCUCGCAGCUCCAGAGGUCUGGAUAUUACCAUCCAUCACAGCAGCUCGGCUUCCAGCGCUUGCUAAACGCCUGAAUUUCCCGCUGGCUCGAUGAACAGCGUUCAGCUUGUGGUACAUUACCCAGGCACCGGGUGAAUGGGGCUGAGCGCUCCUGUUUGGCUGCGAGCGCCGCGUUCACCUGAGCUCGCUGGCAGGAUGAAUAGCUCACCGCCGUUCUGCUGCUAACCCCCUUUGUCAACCAGCACUGAGCCAUGGACCUUAUUACAAAGGCCGACAGCUCCCUGGAAACUUAAAUCCACUCUUUUUCCCUUCUCUACCAUAGGGAGCUGUAAAAGAAAAGGACUUGGUUGGUAGGCAUGUAAUAUAACAAAAACCCCUCUGUUGUGGCAGGAUCCAGACUCCCCAGUAACAAUGGGGAUUAUGCUCUCACAUCGAAAAUGCAGUUGCUAGUUUUAACUGGAGUACCUUAUUACAGAUUCCUACAGAGCACAUUUAUGUCAGGGGCUUGGAUGUUUAACUUAAGUCAAGCCUGGUAGCAGAGAGAGCUCAGCAACCUCUGGUUUGGGUUGUGGUUUUGGUUUUUGGUUGUUUUUUUUUUUUUUAUAUGGAGGGGAAAGAUGCAGCUUGAUAUGCUGCUUUGGUGCUACCUUCCCCCAAACCACUUCUCAGAGAGCUUUAAAUAUCCUGACACUGGCACCGGGCAGGGGCUGGCAGAAGAAUGGAUUUUUUCAUCUGAUUGCUCGCCAAGGUUGUUUUCAAGAAGAAGUAGAAGAAGAAGGGGAAAGAAAAAACCCAAAAAAACCCCUUUUGCAUGCCAGUCAUUCAUUGCCUGCCAGUUCCCAUGGUUCUCCUACGGAUGGUAGCCACAGAACUAUUCAAAGUACAGUAAACACUGAGGAAAAGUGAAAAGAAACUCAUGAAGCAGAGAACAGAGAAGGAAAAGGAGUUGGGUAUGGGAUACAUGGUAGUAAGAGUCACUUAGGAAUUACUUUAGGGUGUACCAUGAAUGCUUCACUCAGUGCCAGCAGUAGCUGGACCAGCACAGUUUAGGGAGGACCUACCCCACUUCAG